UGGAUGCUUUUUAAAAAAAGUCCUUAAUGUCCUUUUAGGUUUAUAUUUUAUUUUAUUUUUUAAUUUUAUUUAUUUAUCUGACAGAGAGAAAAAGUGAGAGAGCAAGAGUGGAGUGAGGGGCUGAAGGAGAAGCAGACUCCCCAUUGAGCAGGGAGCCCAAUGAAGAGCUCCAUCCUGGAACUCCAGGAUUAUGACCUGAGCUGAAGGUCAUAUGAACAAAGGGAAGAACUUCUAAAGUAAUGGAAUGAGAAUGGGUGGAUUCUGUCAAAUGUAGAUCCAAAUCCUGAUCCUGUCCCUAAUUAGCUAUAGCUGUGUCAUCUGGGGCGCGUCUGUAAUAACAGGAAAGCCACAAAAUAUUUGAAGACUAAAGAGAGAGACCACACUCAGACCUCCAACUAUAGCUCAGAGGGGAAAACAAACUGCCCUCAGAUAUGUGGGAAGACUGACAAGAAUUCUCGUGCAGUCCUCAAAGCAAAUUUCAAUGUUGGAUGGAUUUGGCCCCAAAUAAGUCAUGCCCUUUCAUCUUUAUAUUACUAUCUCCUACAUGCACAAAAGAAGAAUGCAUGAUCAGAUGGCCUGCAUGAUCCUCAAUCACAUAUAUGAUAGUAGAGAUGAUGCAAUAUGGGUUAUUUGGAAUGAAUGCUGUUAAUACUUUGUAUCCUCGAGAAAAAGAAAACAGUCCCUCACCAUUGGCAACAACCCCUGGGAUUAUUGACUCAGCAUUGAUGUUGCUAGGAGAUGGCUGAAAUGAAUAAUAUCUUUGAGAAGUGGAAUAUCAGUGCAUCCUGUUAUAAUGUGAUAACUAAUGUUUGCAGGUUUUUUUUUUAAUUUCAUCCCAAUUGAACUAGAAUAAAAUAAAAAAUCCUUUGUAAAGUUCA
rnacentral:lncRNA from 1 species